UUAAUCCUACGGGGCGCAGCAGUGAGGAAUAUUGGUCAAUGGGCGCAAGCCUGAACCAGCCAAGUAGCGUGCAGGAAGACGGCCCUAUGGGUUGUAAACUGCUUUUAUACGAGAAUAAUUUGAUGCACGUGUGCGUUAUUGCAUGUAUCGUAUGAAUAAGGACCGGCUAAUUCCGUGCCAGCAGCCGCGGUAAUACGGAAGGUCCAGGCGUUAUCCGGAUUUAUUGGGUUUAAAGGGAGUGUAGGCGGUUUGUUAAGCGUGUUGUGAAAUUUAGAUGCUCAACAUUUAACUUGCAGCGCGAACUG
rnacentral:rRNA from 1 species